UACGGAGGGGGCAAGCGUUGUUCGGAUUUACUGGGCGUAAAGGGCGCGUAGGCGGCGCAACAAGUCACUUGUGAAAUCUCCGGGUUUAACUCGGAACUGCCAAGUGAUACUGUCGUGCUAGAGUGCAGAAGGGGCAAUCGGAAUUCUUGGUGUAGCGGUGAAAUGCGUAGAUAUCAAGAGGAACACCAGAGGCGAAGGCGGAUUGCUGGGCUGACACUGACGCUGAGGCGCGAAAGCUAGGGUAGCAAACGGG
rnacentral:rRNA from 1 species